rnacentral:rRNA from 2 species
UGCAGUCGAACGAGCUCUCCCAAAUUGAUUUUAUGCUUGCAUAAAUGAUUUUUGGAUUCGGAGCGAGUGGCGAACUGGUGAGUAACACGUGGGUAACCUGCCCCGAAGCGGGGGAUAACAUUUGGAAACAAGUGCUAAUACCGCAUAAUUAGUUGGAACCGCAUGGUUCCAACUUGAAAGAUGGCUCUGCUAUCACUUUGGGAUGGACCCGCGCCGUAUUAGUUAGUUGGUGAGAUAAAAGCCCACCAAGACGAUGAUACGUAGCCGACCUGAGAGGGUAAUCGGCCACAUUGGGACUGAGACACGGCCCAGACUCCUACGGGAGGCAGCAGUAGGGAAUCUUCCACAAUGGACGAAAGUCUGAUGGAGCAACGCCGCGUGAGUGAUGAAGGUUUUCGGAUCGUAAAACUCUGUUGUUAAAGAAGAACAAGUGUUAGAGUAACUGUUAACACUUUGACGGUAUUUAACCAGAAAGCCACGGCUAACUACGUGCCAGCAGCCGCGGUAAUACGUAGGUGGCAAGCGUUGUCCGGAUUUAUUGGGCGUAAAGCGAGCGCAGGCGGUUUUGUAAGUCUGCUGUGAAAGCCCUCAGCUCAACUGAGGAAGUGCAGUGGAAACUACAAAACUUGAGUACAGAAGAGGAAAGUGGAACUCCAUGUGUAGCGGUGAAAUGCGUAGAUAUAUGGAAGAACACCAGUGGCGAAGGCGGCUUUCUGGUCUGUUACUGACGCUGAGGCUCGAAAGCAUGGGUAGCGAACAGGAUUAGAUACCCUG